UACGUAGGGUGCGAGCGUUGUCCGGAAUUACUGGGUGUAAAGCGCGUGUAGGCGGGAGGCCAAGUCUGCGGUGAAAUCGCUCGGCUCAACUGGGCGGGGUCCGUGGAAACUGGUCACCUGGAGGACGGUAGAGGCGAGUGGAAUUCCCGGUGUAGUGGUGAAAUGCGUAGAGAUCGGGAGGAACACCAGUGGCGAAGGCGGCUCGCUGGGCCGGACCUGACGCUGAGACGCGAAGGCGUGGGGAGCGAACGGG
rnacentral:rRNA from 1 species